GACAGAGGGUGCAAACGUUGCUCGGAAUCACUGGGCGUAAAGCGCGCGUAGGCGGCGAUACAAGUCAGAGGUGAAAGCCCGGAGCUUAACUCCGGAAUUGCCUUUGAAACUGCAUUGCUAGAGUGUCGGAGGGGAUAGCGGAAUUGCUAAUGUAGAGGUGAAAUUCGUAGAUAUUAGCAGGAACACCGGUGGCGAAGGCGGCUAUCUGGACGACAACUGACGCUGAGGCGCGAAAGCGCGGGGAUCAAACAGG
rnacentral:rRNA from 1 species